rnacentral:rRNA from 1 species
UACGUAGGUGGCAAGCGUUGUCCGGAUUUACUGGGCGUAAAGAGCGCGCAGGCGGUCGUUCAAGUCGCGUGUGAAAGCCCCCGGCUCAACUGGGGAGGGUCACGCGAUACUGAUCGACUCGAAGGCAGGAGAGGGUAGUGGAAUUCCCGGUGUAGUGGUGAAAUGCGUAGAGAUCCGGGAGGAACACCAGUGGCGAAGGCGACACGCUGGGCCGUACCGUGACACUGAUGCGCGACAGCA